UCUUCCAAAACAUGUUCUCUCUUCCAAAAGUCAUUUCUCAGGAGACUUCUCUUGAGACCUAACCCAUCUUCAUCAAGGUGACCAUCGUCUUGGAGAGCUUAUCAACGACUUUACCUUUUCAUUUCUUCUAGUUAAGAGUAUUGCACUAUGUGAGAGACUUGAGACUUGGGCAACAUCGGUACUGUUGAAGCACAUAAUACCAAAAUCGCUAACUUCUGAAGCACUAGGAGAAAUAGUUGCUUUCUUCUGAGGAUUUUCAGACUAGUGCAAGUUCAUUACUGCCAUAUAUAACUAUGUGAUUUUAAUACCUAAUUGCAAAUGGAGAACGAAAGAAAAUUUAUUAUCUAGUAUAUUUCCGUUCUCUGAAGCUCAAAAGAAAAAAAGAACAUGAAAAACAUUCUCUGCCUUGGGAAUAAGGACAGACUGGGAUAACUGGGUGCGGUCCAUGCUGUGGAUGGGCUUGUUUGAGAUUCAGGGCCAACAAUUCCCCAUGGCCUCUUCAGAGCUUUAUGGAGGUGGCUGAGGUGGGAGUGUUAGGUGUGGCAGGCAAUAAUAGUAAUUGCAGUUAUUCCUUCGUCUCUUCGCAGUUUCCACUUUGCAGGGUUGCUUAAUUUGGUAAUAUACUGAAUAUUUCUCCCCAUACCUUGGUUAUUGGAUGUGCAUCCCAGAACUUUGGAUUGUCGGGAACUACUCCUCUCAAGUGUGCGUUUAGGCUUAGAUUGAGCUAUUAUCACUAGAUGGUGGUGGUUGACUGGUUCCUAUGACAUUGGUGUAAUUCAUUCUCAUGUUUUUCUAGAGAAGUAUUGGUAUUACAUCCCAACAACCAUUUGAAUAACACACAAAUGUAAUUUGCAGGAUAUCUUUAUAUUUAUCUUGUAGCCUGUGUGAUUAAUUUAUUUCCGCAUGUUUUAAACCUGUGGGAAUUCAACCUGUUGGACUGUGGAAUCUUAUGAUACUUUGAUAA